rnacentral:rRNA from 1 species
UACCAGCACCCCGAGUGGUCGGGACGAUUAUUGGGCCUAAAGCAUCCGUAGCCGGUUUUACAAGUCUUCCGUUAAAUCCAGCUGCUUAACAGAUGGGCUGCGGAGGAUACUAUAAGACUAGGAGGCAGGAGAGGCAAGCGGUACUCAGUGGGUAGGGGUAAAAUCCGUUGAUCCAUUGAAGACCACCAGUGGCGAAGGCGGCUUGCCAGAAUGCGCUCGACGGUGAGGGAUGAAAGCUGGGGGGAGCAAACCGG